rnacentral:lncRNA from 1 species
GUACGUUCUUUCCAGAAGUACUUAGUGUAGUCCCAGGACUUUACUGCUUGUGGGGAAGCCAGACAUUUACUUGCAUCCCUCCCAAAAACACCUUGACUUGUACUUUAGGGGUGAGCAUAAGAGACCAGCAAAUGUUGGGAAAAUACCACCAGUGGAUUAUGUAGCCAAAGGUUACUGUGAAUAUCUUUCCAAAAUGAGGGCCUUGAUUAUUCAGGGGAGCUUCCAGGAGGAACAGAUGACUUGCCAUUUACGCGCAUCCUGUGGCAAUUAUCCCUACGAUGGGAGCCAUCCAAUUAGAAAACUUUGUACAAAAUUUGUCCUUGACUUAAGUGAUCAACAACACCACCUCAGCCCUGGAAUGCAUUCAGACCUAGAUAAAAGUUCAGUGAAGUGGUUAAUUGUCCAUCCAAAGUAAACAAUGAAAGAUGAUAGCUGUAUAAAAUAAUAGAAGCCUGAAGAGUCUCAGACACUGUAUAGCACUGGCAAAGUACAUAUUUUGGAUACUGGCUGUGCGUCUAAAUAAGAUGUGAGGUCUGAAUGGGAUAAAUUUUCUGAACCAGUCCUGAGGAAUAUCUACCAGUGUUUCAUCUUCCUGGGCUUUGGGUUUUUCUGUCAACCAACACAAAUGAAGAUAAGCCAGUCCUCCUCUAGAAUAUAUUGCUCGAGCCUGUGUUCCUGCCCCGGGAAAGAGAGAUGACCCUCCUCCUAGUGCUUUACGUUUUCAUUUCAUCUUCAAUAAUGCAAGAAUAAAUGCAUAAAAUGGAAA